ACUCCUACGGGAGGCAGCAGUGGGGAAUCUUGCGCAAUGGGCGAAAGCCUGACGCAGCAACGCCGCGUGGGGGAUGAAGGCUCUCGGGUUGUAAACCCCUUUCAGCAGGAACGAAAAUGACGGUACCUGCAGAAGAAGGCCCGGCCAACUACGUGCCAGCAGCCGCGGUAAUACGUAGGGGCCAAGCGUUGUCCGGAUUUAUUGGGCGUAAAGAGCUCGUAGGCGGUUUGGAUAGUCGGGUGUGAAAACUCCGAGCUCAACUCGGAGACGCCACCCGAUACUGCCAUGACUAGAGUCCGGUAGGGGAGCAGGGAAUUCCUGGUGUAGCGGUGAAAUGCGCAGAUAUCAGGAGGAACACCGGUGGCGAAGGCGCUGCUCUGGGCCGGUACUGACGCUGAGGAGCGAAAGCGUGGGUAGCAAACAGGAUUAGAUACCCUGGUAGUCCACGCCGUAAACGUUGGGCACUAGGUGUGGGCCCUAACCAACGGGGUCCGUGCCGCAGCUAACGCAUUAAGUUCCCCGCCUGGGGAGUACGGCCGCAAGGCUAAAACUCAAAUGAAUUGACGG
rnacentral:rRNA from 1 species